rnacentral:rRNA from 1 species
GCGGGAUGACGGCCUUCGGGUUGUAAACCGCUUUCAGCAGGGACGAAGCGCAAGUGACGGUACCUGCAGAAGAAGCACCGGCUAACUACGUGCCAGCAGCCGCGGUGAUACGUAGGGUGCGAGCGUUGUCCGGAUUUAUUGGGCGUAAAGAGCUUGUAGGCGGUUAGUCGCGUCGUAAGUGCAAACUCAGGGCUUAACCCUGAGCCUGCUUUCGAUACGGGCUGACUAGAGGAAGGUAGGGGAGAAUGGAAUUCCCGGUGGAGCGGUGGAAUGCGCAGAUAUCGGGAGGAACACCAGUGGCGAAGGCGGUUCUCUGGACCUUUCCUGACGCUGAGAAGCGAAAGCGUGGGGAGCAAACAGGCUUAGAUACCCUGGUAGUCCACGCCGUAAACGGUGGGUACUAGGUGUGGGGGACAUUCCACGUUC